rnacentral:rRNA from 1 species
CCCGCAACGAGCGCAACCCCCGCGUUAGUUGCCAGCGGUUCGGCCGGGGCACUCUAACGGGACUGCCCGCGAAAGCGGGAGGAAGGAGGGGACGACGUCUGGUCAGCAUGGCCCUUACGGCCUGGGCGACACACGUGCUACAAUGCCCACUACAAAGCGAUGCCACCCGGCAACGGGGAGCUAAUCGCAAAAAGGUGGGCCCAGUUCGGAUUGGGGUCUGCAACCCGACCCCAUGAAGCCGGAAUCGCUAGUAAUCGCGGAUCAGCCAUGCCGCGGUGAAUACGUUCCCGGGCCUU